CGCCAGACUCCUACGGGAGGCAGCAGUAGGGAAUCUUUCACAAUGGGCGAAAGCCUGAUGGAGCAACGCCGCGUGCAGGAUGAAGGCCUUCGGGUUGUAAACUGCUUUUAUAAGCGAGAAAUAUGAUGGUAACUUAUGAAUAAGGAUCGGCUAACUACGUGCCAGCAGCCGCGGUCAUACGUAGGAUCCGAGCAUUAUCCGGAGUGACUGGGUGUAAAGGGCGUGUAGGCGGGAAUGCAAGUCAGAUGUGAAAACUAUGGGCUCAACCCAUAGCCUGCAUUUGAAACUGUAUUUCUUGAGUGCUGGAGAGGCAAUCGGAAUUCCGUGUGUAGCGGUGAAAUGCGUAGAUAUACGGAGGAACACCAGUGGCGAAGGCGGAUUGCUGGACAGUAACUGACGCCGAGGCGCGAAAGCGUGGGGAGCAAACAGGAUUAGAUACCCUAGUA
rnacentral:rRNA from 1 species